CAACCUCCGCCUCCCGGGUUCAGGCAGUUCUCCUGCCUCGGUCUCCUGAGUAGCUGGGAUUACAGGAAAAGUAACUUUGAAGUGACCAGCACGCCUUUGGUUUCUGUCUGCUUUCCUUGGGCCUCUUCUGUCUGUGAAACCGACCUCCCCUCAGCUCAUUAGAGCGUUCGUUGUGUUUUAUGGAAAGAGGUGUUGCCCGAUUCUAGAGUCGCAAAUAAAACCCAACUCAGAUCUCGAAACUAAA